rnacentral:rRNA from 1 species
GUAGGGGGCAAGCGUUGUCCGGAUUUAUUGGGCGUAAAGCGCGUGUAGGCGGCCACGCAGGUCCGCUGUGAAAACUCGAGGCUCAACCUCGAGAUGUCGGUGGAAACCGCGUGGCUAGAGUCCGGAAGAGGAGAGUGGAAUUCCCGGUGUAGCGGUGAAAUGCGCAGAUAUCGGGAAGAACACCCAUGGCGAAGGCAGCUCUCUGGGACGGUACUGACGCUGAGACGCGAAAGCGUGGGGAGCGAACAGGAUUAGAUACCCUGGUAGUCCACGCCGUAAACGAUGGAUGCUAGGUGUGGGCGGUGUCGACUCCGUCCGUGCCGAAGCUAACGCAUUAAGCAUCCCGCCUGGGGAGUACGGCCGCAAGGCUAAA